rnacentral:lncRNA from 1 species
GGAUAGGAGCAAAGGAGAAGACAGUGAAUCUGGGAAUAAGGCUAAGAACUGCACGCCAUGAUGCCACAUCAUAGGCUCGGGGUGAAGAGCACUUAUACCUCUAAGAAUUCUUGUUGCGACAUGAGAAAGGGACCCCGUGGGCUCCAGAGUUGGUGGAGGUCACAUGAUGAAGCAGAACAAGUCCACAAGAACCUCAACAAUUCCUGGUACCGAGACGAGGUCCCACAGGGAGGGAACUGAGAGUUGGGGGAAGCCGGCCAAACGAUCUUCUGCGUGGGGAACAUUUGCUGAUGCUUCCAGUGCUCAGAGAUCGGUGACUCCCCGGUGGACCAUGCCAAGCUCUUUUCCCUUCAUUUCUGAGGCCCGCGGUGCAGUUGAAAGAAAAACUACUCCAUGUGUUUCUGAUCCAUCUCCGCACAGCUCAUCCGAAGUUUGGAUUUUAAGCGUUCGUAGAUAUGCAUGAUGCUUUUGGAGUCUGCUUUACAAGCCUUCCACGCUUUCAUUUCUAUUGUGAGAGGAAGCUGAGCGUUGCCAAGAGUAAACGAGUUGGCGUCGCAGAAGGUUCACGUUGGGUCUGUAGCACUGAAGCCCUAAGGCUUGAGUGGAAGCCAGAUGCACCCAGAGAGGACGCUUUCUUUGGAGGGGCUGAAGCCAUUAUCCGUUCAGCCUCUGCACGUCCCAUGCGCGCUCACUACAGAUCCCCUUGGGCUUUGCCACGUUAAGAUACAAUCUAACACUGCCAAGAGGCUCUCAUCGGUCAUGGGUGAUCUUUGGGGGGUGGGGGAAAGGGUCUCCAAAGCUGACAGGGUGAAUCACUUCCCACACUGUUAACACGUCAGCGCCACAGCUAGUGAGGUGCAGAGCAGGGCAGCAUGACUGGGGAUCCGGAUUCCUCUGCUUCCAAAUUAGUAUUAGUAGCCCAGAAGAAGAAUGGAAGGAAACAUGGUCUUUCUGGAGAGCCACGCACUAGGGAAGGAAAGAAGGAGGUAGAGCAAGUUACAUCCUUCCAAUAAAACACUUCAGGAAUAGCA